UACAGAGGGGCAAGCGUUGUUCGGAAUUACUGGGCGUAAAGGGCGCGUAGGCGGCCUUCUAAGUCGAACGUGAAAUCCCUGGGCUCAACCCAGGAACUGCGUCCGAUACUGGAAGGCUUGAAUCCGGGAGAGGGAUGCGGAAUUCCAGGUGUAGCGGUGAAAUGCGUAGAUAUCUGGAGGAACACCGGUGGCGAAGGCGGCAUCCUGGACCGGUAUUGACGCUGAGGCGCGAAAGCCAGGGGAGCAAAGCGGG
rnacentral:rRNA from 1 species